GACUUGCAUGGUGAAUGCAGUACCUGUAUUCAACCUGCAAGUGGAGCCAGAGUUCUCUAGAUGUAUGGCGGAUGUUGACGCCCCGUGGAGGGGCCAGGGAUGGCCCCUUUGUGCCGAUCGCGGCGUUGCUGAAUGCCUCGAGGUCGAGGCAUUCAGCAACGCUUUUUGGGUGCAGAAAGCGAUAGUAGAUCGCUUUCUGCACCCGUUUAAAGACGUGCCGGUCCUGGCACGUCAAUUGUCGUAAAGCACAUGCUUUUACGUGUCGUGCCAGGACCGGCAAUUGUCAUCAAGGGGUUAAAC